CAAUAAGCGGAGGAAAAGAAACCAACAGGGAUUGCCUCAGUAACGGCGAGUGAAGCGGCAACAGCUCAAAUUUGAAAUCUGGCUCCUUCGGGGUCCGAGUUGUAAUUUGUAGAGGAUGUUUCGGGUGCGGCGCCGGUCGAAGUCCCUUGGAACAGGGUGUCACAGAGGGUGAGAGUCCCGUACGUGGCUGGCGUUCAAGUCCAUGUGAAACUCCUUCGACGAGUCGAGUUGUUUGGGAAUGCAGCUCAAAAUGGGUGGUAAAUUUCAUCUAAAGCUAAAUACCGGCCAGAGACCGAUAGCGCACAAGUAGAGUGAUCGAAAGAUGAAAAGCACUUUGGAAAGAGAGUUAAAAAGUACGUGAAAUUGUUGAAAGGGAAGCGCUUGCGACCAGACCUGCCCGUGGGUGCUCAGCGGUGGUUAUCCACCGUGCACUCGCCCACGAUCAGGCCAGCAUCAGUUCUGGCGACCGGAUAAAGGCCCUUGGAAUGUAGCUCCUCUCGGGGAGUGUUAUAGCCUCGGGUGUCAUACGGCCAGCCGGGACUGAGGACCGCGCUUCGGCAAGGAUGCUGGCGUAAUGGUUGUAAGCGACCCGUCUUGAAACACGGACCAAGGAGUCUAACAUCUAUGCGAGUGUUUGGGUGUCAAACCCAUGCGCGCAAUGAAAGUGAACGAUGGUCAGAGCCCUUCCCGGGUGCAUGAUCGACCGAUCUUGAAGUUUACGGAUGGAUUUGAGUAUGAGCAUAGCUGUUGGGACCCGAAAGAUGGUGAACUAUGCCUGAAUAGGGUGAAGCCAGAGGAAACUCUGGUGGAGGCUCGCAGCGGUUCUGACGUGCAAAUCGAUCGUCAAAUUUGGGUAUAGGGGCGAAAGACUAAUCGAACCAUCUAGUAGCUGGUUCCUGCCGAAGUUUCCCUCAGGAUAGCAGUAACGUAUUCAGUUUUAUGAGGUAAAGCGAAUGAUUAGGAGACUAGGGGAUGUAACAUCCUUUACUCAUUCUCAAACUUUAAAUAUGUAAGAAGUCCUUGUUACUUGAUUGAACGUGGACAUUUGAAUGUACCGUUACUAGUGGGCCAUUUUUGGUAAGCAGAACUGGCGAUGCGGGAUGAACCGAACGUGGGGUUAAGGUGCCGGAAUGUACGCUCAUCAGACACCAGAAGUGACCUUUUGUGGUGCCUGUUGCAGCGAGCGAGUCCCUUCAACGGGGGCCAGGUUUUCGAUCGCGCGGGGAGUGCUUGCCACCAAGCCAACCCGGAGCCACAGCGUAUGCUGCGGCCCACAGAUCAAGCGAAAGCCGGUGGAUGCCCUGCGACCACUUGAGAUAUGAUCGGCUUCCAGGCGCAAGCCAGUGGAAAUUCAGUGCAAAAGGUGUUGAUUCAUCUAGACAGCCGGACGGUGGCCAUGGAAGUCGGAAUCCGCUAAGGAGUGUGUA
rnacentral:rRNA from 1 species